UACAGAGGGUGCGAGCGUUAAUCGGAAUUACUGGGCGUAAAGCGUGCGUAGGUGGUUUUAUAAGUUAGGUGUGAAAUUCCUGGGCUUAACCUGGGGACUGCGCCUAAUACUGUAAAGCUAGAGUAUUGUAGAGGAAAGUGGAAUUUCCGGUGUAGCGGUGAAAUGCGUAGAUAUCGGAAGGAACAUCAGUGGCGAAGGCGACUUACUGGACACAUAUUGACGCUGAGGUGCGAAAGCGUGGGGAGCAAACAGG
rnacentral:rRNA from 1 species